rnacentral:ncRNA from 1 species
CCCGCUGAACUUAAGCAUAUCAAUAAGCGGAGGAGAAGAAACCAACCAGGAUUCCCUCAGUAACGGCGAGUGAAGAGGGAGAAGCCCAGUGCCGAAGCCUGCGGCAGGUUUGUCGGUAGGCCAUGUGGUGUGCGGGUUGGCUGGCGGGACCGCCGCUCCACUCCAAGUCCAGCAUUGAGUAUGGUUGUGAGUGAAUGUGGCCCAUAGAGGGUGAUAGGCCCGUAGGAGUGGGGGCUCAGGCAGGUGAGGCGGUUCACCAGGCCGGCUCAGGAGUCGGGUUGUUUGAGAUUGCAGCCCAAAGUGGGUGGUAAACUCCAUCCAAGGCUAAAUACAGGCACGAGUCCGAUAGCGGACAAGUACCGUGAGG